AUUCUCCUGCUUCAGCCUCCCGAGUAGCUGGGACUAUAGGCCCGGCCACCACAACCAGCUAAUUUUUUUUUUUUUUUUUUUUUUUUUUUUAGUAGAGACGGGGUUUCACCAUGUUAGUCAGGAUGGUCUCUAUCUCCUGACCUCGCGAUCCGCCCGCUUCGGCCUCCCAAAGUGCUGGGAUUACAGGUGUGAGCCACUGUGCCCGGCUGAAAGCCUGAUAUAUCUUUCUACCAUAGCAAGAACUAGCAGCACCUUACCCAGUAUGAGACCGACCCAGGUCUGCCUUAAUAUAUAUACCGUAAUAUAUACCUAACAGUUUUUUUUUUUUUUUUGAGAGGGAGUCUCGCUCUGUCGCCCAGGCUGGAGUGCAGUAUCGCGAUAUCGGUUCGCUGCAAGCUCCGCCUCCCGGGGUCACGUCAUUCUCCUGCCUCAGCUUCCGGAGCAGCUGGGACUGCUGGCGCCCGCCACUACGCUCGGCUAAUUUUUUUGUGUUUUUAGUAGAGACGGGCUUUCACCGUGUUGGCCUAGCGGUUCUCCAACUCCUGACCUCAUGAUCCCCCCGCCUCAGCCUCCCAAAGUGCUGGGAUUACAAGCGUGAGCCACCGCGACCCGCCAACACUCUUGACAACAGUGCUGUGCUAAGAACUUGGGGGACUUCAAAAAGUUCACCAGUUCCUGUGUCCAUGGGUGAAAAGAUUUUCUACAUCUUUCCUUGACUAGAAACAGAAGUCCUGAAACAAGAAUAUAACGUCAGGAGGCCAGAGGCUUUGUCCUGCCUAAUGUGUUAUUUCCACACUGAAUAAAAGCACCUGAGUCCUGAAUUCUCCAAACACCACCUCACACAGUUUUGGAAUCUCUUUGUCUUCAUUUCCCAGAAUUUGGAAGAGUUCAUCUAGUAUCUCUGCAUUUUAAAAAGGUUGUACAUCUAGCAAUACCUAACAAAAUAGGAAAUCAACUUGGGCUACCUUAAUGAGCAGCCAGGAUGCCAUCAUCUCCGACCUGAAUGACAAUAACCUCCAAACCAGCCUUUGUAUACUCCUUCCUGCUGCUCUGCAGUCCACUUCCACAGACCAGCCAACUGAAUCUCCUUAUAGAUUCAUAAUGGCCAUCAGCACAAAGAUGUUUUAUCUGCAGUCAACCAGUCAUGUUUCAUGAUGGCAUCAAAAUGUGUGCUGGAGUUUGCUGGGGGUCCACUCUAGAUCCUGUUUGCCUGAGUAUCACCAGCGGACACUGUAGAACAGCAAAGAUUGCUGCCUGCUCCUUCCUCUGGAAGCUUCGUCCCAGAGGGGCACCUGCAAGAUGCCAACCAGAGCUCUCCUGUAUGAGUUGUCUGUUGACCCCUGCUGGGAGGUGUCUCCCUUUCAGGAGGCUCAGGGGUCAGGGACCCACUUGAGGAGGCAGUCUGUCCCUUAGCAGAGCUUAAAUGUUGUGCUGGAAGAUCUGCUUCUGUCUUCAGAGCCAGCAGGCAGGAAUAUUUAAGUCCACUGAAGCUGUGCCCACAGCAGCCCCUUCCCCCAGGUCCCAGGGAGAUGAUGGGAGUUUUAUCUAUAACCUCCUAACUGGGACUGCUGCCUUUCUUUCAGAGAUGCCCUACCCAGAGAGGAGGAAUCUAGAGAGAGUCUGCCUAAUUUGGCUUUGCUGCGCUGCAAUGGGCUCCCUCCAGUCCAAAGUUCCUGGAGGCUUUGUUUACAUUGUGAGGGAAAAACCGCUUACUCAAGCCUCAGUAAUGGCAGACGCCCCUCCCCCCAUCAAGCUCCAAUGUCCCAGGUCAACUUCAGACUGUUGUGCUGGCAGCGAGAAUUUCAAGUCAGUGGAUCUUAGCUUGCUUGGCUCUGUGGGGUUGGAAUCUGCUUAACAAGACCACUUGGCUACCUGGCUUCAGCCCCCUUUCCAGGGGAGUGAGUGGUUCUGUCUCACUUGCGUUCCAGGCACCACACAAUUGGAAAUGUAGAAAUUACCUGCCUUCUGCGUUGGUCUCCCUGGGCGCUGCAGACUGGGGCUGUUCCUCUUCAGCCAUCUUGCAGGGAAUCACAAUAAAGAAUUUUUAAAAGGAAGAGAAAAGCAAUCAUCACUAUUUUGGUUUUGUUUUGUUUUAGGAGUAACUGACUACUGAACAGUACUGCAUGUUUCUGAGGUUCCUCUGUUAUUCCUGUAGUUCACUACCUCUGCAUCCUCCCCAGGACAAGAAAUUCAUUUUCCUUAUUGUACUGUGUUAUGCCAAGAAUAUUACUAUUGUUCGGUGAAUAUAAAAUAAUCAUUAUAGCAACAAUUUUUUUGGCGUCCUAAAUAAGGCUGAUCCAUGGCAACGGUACUAUGCAAAGAAAAGAAUAAAGUCAAAACACUUGUAAAACCUUUUACUUAUUGGUAUCAGACAUCUGUUAUUUUAUUAAUCCUCACAAUGUCUUUUAAAGGUUUUGUUAUUUGUAUCUACAAUCCGGGGAGAAGAAACUGAAGUACAGAGGGGCAAAACGAUUGUUACCUAGUUGAAUGACAAAUUAGAUGAGAAUCCAAUAUCCACAAGGUGUUAGGCCCUGGAAACAUUAAUCUCAUGUAUUAUUAGCUAUUCUCACAUACAUAUAAG
rnacentral:lncRNA from 1 species